rnacentral:rRNA from 1 species
CGGUCUCAGUUCGGAUUGGGGUCUGCAACUCGACCCCAUGAAGUCGGAGUCGCUAGUAAUCGCAGAUCAGCAACGCUGCGGUGAAUACGUUCCCGGGCCUUGUACACACCGCCCGUCAAGUCACGAAAGUCGGUAACACCCGAAGCCGGUGGCCUAACCCUUGUGGGAGGGAGCCGUCGAAGGUGGGACCAGCGAUUGGGACUAAGUCGUAACAAGGUAGCCGUACCGGAAGGUGCGGCUGGAUCACCUCCUUUCUAAGGAG